rnacentral:rRNA from 1 species
GGUUAAGCGACUAAGCGUACACGGUGGAUGCCCUGGCAGUCAGAGGCGAUGAAGGACGUGCUAAUCUGCGAUAAGCGUCGGUAAGGUGAUAUGAACCGUUAUAACCGGCGAUUUCCGAAUGGGGAAACCCAGUGUGUUUCGACACACUAUCAUUAACUGAAUCCAUAGGUUAAUGAGGCGAACCGGGGGAACUGAAACAUCUAAGUACCCCGAGGAAAAGAAAUCAACCGAGAUUCCCCCAGUAGCGGCGAGCGAACGGGGAGCAGCCCAGAGCCUGAAUCAGUGUGUGUGUUAGUGGAAGCGUCUGGAAAGGCGCGCGAUACAGGGUGACAGCCCCGUACACAAAAAUGCACAUGCUGUGAGCUCGAUGAGUAGGGCGGGACACGUGGUAUCCUGUCUGAAUAUGGGGGGACCAUCCUCCAAGGCUAAAUACUCCUGACUGACCGAUAGUGAACCAGUACCGUGAGGGAAAGGCGAAAAGAACCCCGGCGAGGGGAGUGAAAAAGAACCUGAAACCGUGUACGUACAAGCAGUGGGAGCACGCUUAGGCGUGUGACUGCGUACCUUUUGUAUAAUGGGUCAGCGACUUAUAUUCUGUAGCAAGGUUAACCGAAUAGGGGAGCCGAAGGGAAACCGAGUCUUAACUGGGCGUUAAGUUGCAGGGUAUAGACCCGAAACCCGGUGAUCUAGCCAUGGGCAGGUUGAAGGUUGGGUAACACUAACUGGAGGACCGAACCGACUAAUGUUGAAAAAUUAGCGGAUGACUUGUGGCUGGGGGUGAAAGGCCAAUCAAACCGGGAGAUAGCUGGUUCUCCCCGAAAGCUAUUUAGGUAGCGCCUCGUGAAUUCAUCUCCGGGGGUAGAGCACUGUUUCGGCAAGGGGGUCAUCCCGACUUACCAACCCGAUGCAAACUGCGAAUACCGGAGAAUGUUAUCACGGGAGACACACGGCGGGUGCUAACGUCCGUCGUGAAGAGGGAAACAACCCAGACCGCCAGCUAAGGUCCCAAAGUCAUGGUUAAGUGGGAAACGAUGUGGGAAGGCCCAGACAGCCAGGAUGUUGGCUUAGAAGCAGCCAUCAUUUAAAGAAAGCGUAAUAGCUCACUGGUCGAGUCGGCCUGCGCGGAAGAUGUAACGGGGCUAAACCAUGCACCGAAGCUGCGGCAGCGACACUAUGUGUUGUUGGGUAGGGGAGCGUUCUGUAAGCCUGUGAAGGUGUGCUGUGAGGCAUGCUGGAGGUAUCAGAAGUGCGAAUGCUGACAUAAGUAACGAUAAAGCGGGUGAAAAGCCCGCUCGCCGGAAGACCAAGGGUUCCUGUCCAACGUUAAUCGGGGCAGGGUGAGUCGACCCCUAAGGCGAGGCCGAAAGGCGUAGUCGAUGGGAAACAGGUUAAUAUUCCUGUACUUGGUGUUACUGCGAAGGGGGGACGGAGAAGGCUAUGUUGGCCGGGCGACGGUUGUCCCGGUUUAAGCGUGUAGGCUGGUUUUCCAGGCAAAUCCGGAAAAUCAAGGCUGAGGCGUGAUGACGAGGCACUACGGUGCUGAAGCAACAAAUGCCCUGCUUCCAGGAAAAGCCUCUAAGCAUCAGGUAACAUCAAAUCGUACCCCAAACCGACACAGGUGGUCAGGUAGAGAAUACCAAGGCGCUUGAGAGAACUCGGGUGAAGGAACUAGGCAAAAUGGUGCCGUAACUUCGGGAGAAGGCACGCUGAUAUGUAGGUGAAGUCCCUUGCGGAUGGAGCUGAAAUCAGUCGAAGAUACCAGCUGGCUGCAACUGUUUAUUAAAAACACAGCACUGUGCAAACACGAAAGUGGACGUAUACGGUGUGACGCCUGCCCGGUGCCGGAAGGUUAAUUGAUGGGGUCAGCGCAAGCGAAGCUCUUGAUCGAAGCCCCGGUAAACGGCGGCCGUAACUAUAACGGUCCUAAGGUAGCGAAAUUCCUUGUCGGGUAAGUUCCGACCUGCACGAAUGGCGUAAUGAUGGCCAGGCUGUCUCCACCCGAGACUCAGUGAAAUUGAACUCGCUGUGAAGAUGCAGUGUACCCGCGGCAAGACGGAAAGACCCCGUGAACCUUUACUAUAGCUUGACACUGAACAUUGAGCCUUGAUGUGUAGGAUAGGUGGGAGGCUUUGAAGUGUGGACGCCAGUCUGCAUGGAGCCGACCUUGAAAUACCACCCUUUAAUGUUUGAUGUUCUAACGUUGACCCGUAAUCCGGGUUGCGGACAGUGUCUGGUGGGUAGUUUGACUGGGGCGGUCUCCUCCUAAAGAGUAACGGAGGAGCACGAAGGUUGGCUAAUCCUGGUCGGACAUCAGGAGGUUAGUGCAAUGGCAUAAGCCAGCUUGACUGCGAGCGUGACGGCGCGAGCAGGUGCGAAAGCAGGUCAUAGUGAUCCGGUGGUUCUGAAUGGAAGGGCCAUCGCUCAACGGAUAAAAGGUACUCCGGGGAUAACAGGCUGAUACCGCCCAAGAGUUCAUAUCGACGGCGGUGUUUGGCACCUCGAUGUCGGCUCAUCACAUCCUGGGGCUGAAGUAGGUCCCAAGGGUAUGGCUGUUCGCCAUUUAAAGUGGUACGCGAGCUGGGUUUAGAACGUCGUGAGACAGUUCGGUCCCUAUCUGCCGUGGGCGCUGGAGAACUGAGGGGGGCUGCUCCUAGUACGAGAGGACCGGAGUGGACGCAUCACUGGUGUUCGGGUUGUCAUGCCAAUGGCACUGCCCGGUAGCUAAAUGCGGAAGAGAUAAGUGCUGAAAGCAUCUAAGCACGAAACUUGCCCCGAGAUGAGUUCUCCCUGACCCUUUAAGGGUCCUGAAGGAACGUUGAAGACGACGACGUUGAUAGGCCGGGUGUGUAAGCGCAGCGAUGCGUUGAGCUAACCGGUACUAAUGAACCGUGAGGCUUAACCUU